AGGGUGAAACCCUAAAGUGCCAAAAAUCAUCAAAUUGAAGGUCGAUUUCAGUCCUAAAUUGAUGCAUGAUCACAUAAAAACAAUCACCAAGUCAUGGGGAUCACAAGUUGGCGCUUAACAAGCUAGGUGAAGCUUGGGGAGGAAGCGGGUCGAACGAGUCAAGCAUAAAGAAAAAGCGUAUUCGGGAUGCAAGGUGAAUGCCAAGAGUGCACGGAUGAAGAUCAAGCAUCGAGCAAGAACCGAACACGAUUACGAAAUAAGCUUCCGCACUAUGUAUCGUUAUUAUGUUAAAGGACGAACGUACACAUGAUAUGUUCUAUACUUUUUAAAUUGUAAAAAGUUUUAAUAAACCCGUAAUUUCCAAUGCAUAUGUAAUCUUAAUUA